ACGAAAUAGUAGCAAUACUAUUUAGUGGCGGAAGGGUUAGUAAUACAUGGGUAACGUACCUUUAACUUGGGAAUAACGAUUGGAAACGAUCGCUAAUACCGAAUGUGGUGAUAACAAGGCAUCUUGAAAUCAUUAAAGUGGGGGAUCUUAGGACCUCGCGGUUAAAGAGAGGCCCAUGGGAUAUCAGCUAGUUGGUAGGGUAAAGGCCUACCAAGG
rnacentral:rRNA from 1 species